UUCACUGGGAUGAUACACCUGUCAAAGUGUAAUGCAGGUCUCCUAAGGUGAGCUUAGGGACACCAGAAAUCUCUUGUGGAGCAGAAGGACAAAAGUUCACUUGAACUUGAUUUUCAGUAUGCAUACAGACCAUGAAAGUAGGAUUUGUGAUUAUUUUGGGAUUUCAAGCU
rnacentral:ncRNA from 1 species